rnacentral:rRNA from 1 species
ACAGCAGUCGCCGCGGGAAUACGAAGGGUGCAAGCGUUACUCGGAAUUACUGGGCGUAAAGCGUGCGUAGGUGGUGGUUUAAGUCCGUUGUGAAAGCCCUGGGCUCAACCUGGGAAUUGCAGUGGAUACUGGGUCACUAGAGUGUGGUAGAGGAUAGUGGAAUUUCCGGUGUAGCAGUGAAAUGCGUAGAGAUCGGAAGGAACAUCUGUGGCGAAGGCGACUAUCUGGGCCAACACUGACACUGAGGCACGAAAGCGUGGGGAGCAAACAGGAUUAGAUACCCCCGUAGUCCCUGUCUCUUAUAA